rnacentral:lncRNA from 1 species
GCUGCACCCAUGGCAUGCCAGAGUUCCUGGGCCAGGGAUCAAACCUGUGCCACAGCAGUGACUGAGCCACAGCAGUAACAACACUGGAUCCUUUAACCACUAGGCCACCAGGGAAUUCCCAUCUAACAUGUUUUUUGUCUCCAGGUCUUUCCUGGAGCCUCUCGGCUCAGCUAGGUCCCCCAGGAUGGACACAGCCUCACAGCAAAUAAGUUAAUUCACCACCGGAGGUUAAGCGACCACCCGCCACAUGCAAUUCCGUCUCCAACACAACUGGGCUGCUCAGCAACAGAGAGGAUAGAGCCCCUGUUUUCCAUGAGUUUCUGUACAAAACCUUACCGGUUGCCACAAAAUAACCACUGAACCCUUUCACACCCUAAGACACUGAACACAAUCCCUGGACGAGAGGGAAGGACCAUUCACGCCGUGCUGAGUCCAAGGAGGCGCAGGCAUCAAGGAGAACACAAAGGGGUCAGAAACCUGAGGGAUGAUGGAAGACGGAAGUGCUGCAUUAGGCCUUGCAGCCCUGGUGGAGAACGGAAGACAGGGCAUAACAGGAAUACAGGCGCGUGUGUGCACCUGUGGGCAGGACGGAGAGCAGACGAGGCACGCCAGGAGUUCAUUCUGUCCAGCUCGAUUUAAGUCCACUGAAUAAAUAUUUAUCAAGUUCCUGCUAUGUGCCAAGCAUUGUGCUAGGUUCUAGGGAUACAAUGGUUAACAGACCGACAGGGUCCCUGGCUCGCUGGCUGGUGGGAGAUGCAGACUAGCAGACAGACAGAACAAUACAACGAGAUAAGUGUUGUGAGGGGUGAAAGUCCUGGUGUUACGAGAAGGACAGAGAAUGGACCCAACCCAGAUGGGAGGCUCAGGAAAACUUCCUGGAUGGUCCUUGGAAGGACGGUCACGCGAACUCCUGCAGCCAAGGUAGGAAUUAGUUGAGUGAAUCUGGGCAGGAAGCUUGUACAGCUCCUACCCCAGAAGAGCAGGUGUGAUGGGCCACGGGGGUAUGAAGCAGGCUGUCUGCACAGGGGAGGGGAGUGAAGUGAUGGGGUUUGGGGCACAGAAGCAGUGGCCAGGUGUGCAGGCUUGGGGCACUGCCUGUGGAGAAGCCUGGACUUUACCCUAAGAGUGAUGGUAGCCACGGAAGCCUUUUAAGGGAGGGAAUGAAACAAACAUAUCUGCAUUUGGGGCAGGGGACUCUGCGGGGUGAGAUGACCCAUGGAGGAGAAACGGCAGCUCAGAACACAAGGCUAAUGUGUAGCUCGGCUCUUCAAGGGCUACCCUCCUCCCGUGCAAGAGCUAAAUGACCCUUUCAGGAGUGAAUGAAGGAACUGAUCACCCUGUCAGCCAAUCGUUCAGCGCAGGACUGAAAACAGGAGACUUGCCGUAAGGAUCAGGGAAACACCCAUCGGAACACGGACCGUCCUCAAUCUUGAAUCUCAUCAGACAAACGAUAACAGUUGUCCACGCAGCACAGGGUAAGGGAGGGAAAGCGCUCCGACCAUGGAGCUGAAAGACCCACAUCUGACCUGUAGUUUUGCCAGUUAUUCAGUUUGAGCUGUGCCUUCAUUUGUCUGACCCGCAGAUCCCACAUGAUACCUGCCCUUUGGUGGAACUGCACAGCACACACGAAGGGAAUGGGCGUCUCAGUCUAGGGACGUUUCUGUUUUCAGCUGACACGUAGGAGCUGCGGGGGAUUUUGCACCCUGGUGGCCUUUCUAGGUCACCCUUUGUAAAAAGAAGUUAGUGCGACCUGCAUGACAAUGAAGUCAAGCUUUAUUCGAAAGGGAAUUUAGAAAACAGGUAGCCAGUGUUGUUCAAACUUUGGGCAGGUAACUAUGCGGUCCACGGGGAGACCCCAGCAGGUGGACUGGGAGAGAGGUGUUGAGAGCGCAGCUCCUGUUGCUGUCCCCAAGGAGGGGAACAGCAGCAGAAGUAGGCAGAAAAGAUAACGUACCUGAAGACCCAGCGGUUGAUGAGAUGGCUUGGAGAUCCCCUGCAACCAUUUUUUGGUAUAUAUUUUUUAAUUAAAGUAUAGUUGAUUUAUAGUGUUGUGCCAAUUUCUGCUGUGCAGCAAAGUGACCCAAUCAUACAUACGUGUGUGUGUGUGUGUGUGUGUGUGUGUGUGUGUGUGUGUCUCUAUAUAUGUACACCUCUUUUCCUAUAUUCUCUUCCAUCAUAUUCAAUCUCAAGAGACUGGAUAUAGUUCCCUGUGCUAUUCAGCAGGACCUUACUGCCGACUGAUUCUAAAUGUAAGAGUUUACAUCUUACGAACCCCAAACUGCCCGUCCCUCCCCCUCCCUCCCCCUCCCCCUUGGCAACCACAGGUCUCUUCUCCGUGUCUGUGAAUCUGUUUCUGUUCUGAACAUACAGCCAUUUAGGAACAGAGUCUAGGUUAGACGCCAGGUCUCCUAAGUUCAACACCCGUUCCACAAUCCACCCCCUCAAAUUAAUUAGGACAGACCGAGACCUUAGGAUGACUCGUGUGAAGUCCAACUUAGAGGUCUUCUCACAAUUCUGUGGCUGGCAGCCCAGAGUUAGGUGGUCUUGGAGAAAGAGAAGGCAGUGGGAAUAGUGGCGGGAGGAGGUGAGGUGUCCCGGGAUCUGGCUGUUUGGAAAGGAGGUGAACCCCUCUCGGAGAGGAGGGGAGAGGCUGGGUCACGGCGGUCAAGAAAAGCAGGAGGACUCAUAACACACAUGGAUCCGGACACAUGAAACCCCCAGACAAAGGAAGAGCAGAAACAGCAGACGGUGGAGAGCAGGUCUGGGAGAAGGUUCCUGAAGAAGCUGGGAAACCAGCUCUACGGAAAACGGCUUGUGCCAGGCAAGCUCAGGAAAACAAGGCGGGUCCUUCAGAUCAAAGAGAACAGGCAGAAAGCGACUGGGCUGUUAGAAACUUUAGACCCUCAAACGCUCCUGCUCGCAGUCUGAUGCGAAUCAUCUCCGUCCUUCUCCUGCCAACGCAGUCCCCGCACUUACACCCCUGGCCCAGCCCCAUCCAGGCUUUGCUUUUGCCUGCAAAAGAGUCUGACACCAGGGCAACAUCAGUGAACCAAGAAGAACUUCAGGAAAACAAGAACUUCCUUAAGACAUGAAAUUGUCAGCUUGUGGCCUUAAGUCCCCACGUUCUCAAAGCAUCUCCAAGAUUUCCUAAAGCAAUACAAAGACUUGGCUCUGGGGGCGGCGGGGGGUCCAUUUCACUUUCAUGGUGAAAUAAAGCUCGGCCGAAUUUUUGGUUUGUUUUCUGUCAUCACAGAGUUAGCCCUCAGCAGUUGGGUCGAAUCUACCCUCCUUAAAGACGCCAAUCAAUCAAUCAUUCACAACCCUAAAACCACUUUCGGUUUCUCCAGGACAUUCCAAGGCAAAGAGCACGGAAAUAAGUUGACUCCACAAGCCACCCUAUCCAGGGAUCCUGCACCAGCAAGACCCCGGUUCACUGUCUCGAGCAUCUUAGACCCUCCGCACCCCUGGAAUAUCAGGCAUGGACAUCUAAAGCCGCCACCAGAAUCUCUUUAUCGAAAUUGAAACCCGUGAGUCUUCUGGGCUCCAGUACAGUUCACCAUUCACAUUGUCUAACUGAGCUCUUCACUACAAAUGGUUUUAGGCUCUGAUGCAAGACAGGAAUUUGAAGCAUGCAUUCGAGUAUUUAAUGGUGUUAAUUUCUGGUGCACACAAACACCAGCCUCACUCAACAAUCCAAUAAUCUUGCAAAAUAAAGAAAAUACACCAGAGAGUGAAAUGCAGCAUGAAAUUCUUCAGGAUUGCAAGCAAAGCAGUUCCCCGAGCCUGCUGCUCCUGAUAAUCGAAUAACCACCUAUGUGCAGACCCUUAAAGACGUAAAAAUAAGUAAAGAAAAUAAAAGAUAAAAGAUGGGGGUGCUUUCAGAGGGAAGACUCGUUCCAGUUUUUACAUUCAAACAUGUUUGGAUGCGGCUCUGAGCUCUCAAGCCUGUCCCAAGCUAAUUUUAAACGUAGCACAUCCGAUCCUACCAAAUGAACACCAGUCCCUGUCGGUCUUUCUUUUUUAAACUGUCAGGCAUCAGUUGAAAGAAAUCCUACCUGGAAAUAUGGACGGUCUCUUUUUCGGGCGCCUCAGGUGAAUGGGUUCCAGGUUUUUAAUGUUUCUCUGCAGUCUUCCUUUAAUGUCAUUUCCUACGAGUAAUUCAGGUGGCAGGCUACUCCGUCUCGAUGCUUUAUAAUCAUUUUGAGAUGAAUUCAGUUUGUUCUUCGUUCUGGAAUAUAAAUUGCUGUCAUCAACUGCCAUGGCAGGAAAUACAUUUGGUGUUCUUAACAAAAAUCCGAAAAGUCAGACCCAGCAGCAGCCACCGCCGCCACCACCACCGCCGUCUCCGCCC